rnacentral:rRNA from 1 species
AUAGCGUAUAUUAAAGUUGUUGUGGUUAAAAAGCUCGUAGUUGGAUCUCAGUUCGAGUCAGACGGUCCACUUGCCAGUGGUUACUGUUUGACUGAACACUUUACCGAGUUGUUCUAUGGUGCUCUUCACCGAGUGUCAUAGGCGAUCGGUACGUUUACUUUGAAAAAAUUAGAGUGCUCAAAGCAGGCGGAACGCCCGAAUAAUAGUGCAUGGAAUAAUGGAAUAGGAUCUUAAUUCUAUUUUGUUGGUCUUCGGAAUUUAAGAUAAUGAUUAAGAGGGACAGACGGGGGCAUUCGUAUUGCGGCGCUAGAGGUGAAAUUCUUGGACCGUCGCAAGACGAACUACAG